AAGAGAAGGUUCAGGGGGCAUCUGAUCAGUGUAUGUAAGUAUCUGAAGGGAUGGUAUCAAGAGGAUGGGGCCAAACUAUUCUUGGUGUUGCUGGGUAAUGGG